CCCCGCGAUACUUCAAAAGCCGGAAACUUCAAACCUGAUAAACUGAUUUCCUGUCAAUUUUCAUAACAGACGACAGAGUCUUUUGAAAAACAGUUCUAAGAAAGGGAAGAACCUAACAGAAACAGGAAUGGCUUGGAGGUUUAAGGCAUCAAAGUACAAGAAUUCAGCACCUAAACUUCUUAAAAGAGAGGAAUGGAUUGGAGAUAUUUCUGCUGGAAGUUUACCAAGCUCUUGUGGCAACCACAUCAAAGCUAGCUGUCAAUAUAUGGCCUUUAAUGUAGAUACUUCAGG